AUUGAACGCUGGCGGCAUGCUUUACACAUGCAAGUCGAACGGCAGCGCGGGCUUCGGCUUGGCUGCGCGUGUCGCACGCGUGUGUAUUGCAUGUGAACGUCCUCACUAGUGCGGGAUAGUCCCUCGAAAGCCCGAUUACUACCGCCUACGACCUGCGCCUGCAACCGGGGGACCGAAGGGCCUCUCCCUAUUGGAGCGACCGACGUCGGACUAGUCAGCUUGUUGGUUAAAGGCUUACCUAGGCGACGAUCCGUAGCUGGCCGGAGAGGACGACCAGCCACACUGGGAGUGAGACACGGCCCAGAGGCCUGCGAGAGGCAGCAGUGGGGAAUGGGGGACAAUGGGGGCAACCCUGAUCCAGCCAGGCCGCGUGCGAGAAGAAGGCCUUCGGGUUGUGAACCGGGUCUGUGCGGGAAGAAAUCCUCUGGGCUGAGACGACGGGUGGAUGACGGUACCGGGAAAAGAAGCACCGGCUAACUACGUG
rnacentral:rRNA from 1 species